rnacentral:rRNA from 1 species
AUUGAACGCUGGCGGCAGGCCUAACACAUGCAAGUCGAACGAGUGGCGGACGGGUGAGUAAUGUCUGGGAAACUGCCUGAUGGAGGGGGAUAACUACUGGAAACGGUAGCUAAUACCGCAUACCAUCAGCUGUGCCCAGAUGGGAUUAGCUGGUUGGCGGGGUAACGGCGCACCAAGGCGAGGAUCCCUAACUGGUCUGAGGGGAUGACCAGCCACACUGGAACUUGGACACGGUCCAGACUCCUACGGGAGGCAGCAGUGGGGAAUAUUGCACAAUGGGCGCAAGCCUGAUGCAUCCAUCCCGCGUGUAUGAAGAAGGCCUUCGGGUUGUAAAGUACUUUCAGCGGGGAGUCGUUACCCGCAGAAGAAGCACCGGCUAACUCCGUGCCAGCCGCCGCGGUAAUUC